CCUACGGGGGGCAGCGGUGGGGAAUAUUGGACAAUGGGGGCAACCCUGAUCCAGCCAUGCCGCGUGUGUGAAGAAGGCCCUCGGGUUGUAAAGCACUUUCAGUGAGGAAGAACGCCUGGUGGUUAAUACCCAUCAGGAAAGACAUCACUCACAGAAGAAGCACCGGCUAACUCCGUGCCAGCAGCCGCGGUAAUACGGAGGGUGCGAGCGUUAAUCGGAAUUACUGGGCGUAAAGCGCGCGUAGGUGGCUUGAUAAGCCGGUUGUGAAAGCCCCGGGCUCAACCUGGGAACGGCAUCCGGAACUGUCAAGCUAGAGUGCAGGAGAGGAAGGUAGAAUUCCCGGUGUAGCGGUGAAAUGCGUAGAGAUCGGGAGGAAUACCAGUGGCGAAGGCGGCCUUCUGGACUGACACUGACACUGAGGUGCGAAAGCGUGGGUAGCAAACAGGAUUAGAUACCCGAGUAGUC
rnacentral:rRNA from 1 species